rnacentral:lncRNA from 1 species
AUUUAUAUAUUAUUCCUUAGGGAAUCAUCCUGUGCUCUAUUUCACUGAUUCAUGGCAUGACUCAUCAUAGAAGCUCUUCUGGUGGUCAAGACACACUCUCACAGGUAGCAAACAUCAAUCAUCCCUCUAAGACAUUCUGACAUCAGAGAAAACACAGCUUCUUUGGACACAGCCCACACUGAACUCAAGCUGGGUAUAAGCCCAUGAAGGGACAUGAGCAAUGGACCAACAUGUUCAAGGAAACCUGUGCUGAUCUUCCACCUGCUUCAGUUAUGCUGCUUUAAGAUCUCUGGUGAUAUGAGAAGAGUCUGUACAAAGGAAGAGAAUUUGAUGCCUACCACUGCUGAAAAAGGAUUUGAAGGCUGGGCUGAAGUCAGAGGCUAACAGUGCUCACAGAGAAGUUCCAAAUCUCUGCUGAUUAGCUGAAGCUGAGUCAAGACCUUUUUCAUGAGACUAGGAGUGAAGAUUUCCAUUGUGCAAGGUGGAGUCUUUGUCAGGUCUGAAGUGUUUCUUAAUAUGAUAACAAAUAAAACUUGCCUUGUCAGUAGAUUCA